rnacentral:rRNA from 1 species
GAUGAACGCUGGCGGCGUGCUUAACACAUGCAAGUCGAACGGGAAACCUUUUAAAGAAGCUUCGGCAAAUUUAGCUGGUUUCUAGUGGCGGACGGGUGAGUAACGCGUGGGUAACCUGCCUUGUACAGGGGGAUAACAGUCAGAAAUGACUGCUAAUACCGCAUAAGCGCACAGGACCGCAUGGUCCAGUGUGAAAAACUCCGGUGGUAUAAGAUGGACCCGCGUUGGAUUAGCUAGUUGGUGGGGUAACGGCCUACCAAGGCGACGAUCCAUAGCCGGCCUGAGAGGGUGAACGGCCACAUUGGGACUGAGACACGGCCCAGACUCCUACGGGAGGCAGCAGUGGGGAAUAUUGCACAAUGGGGGAGACCCUGAUGCAGCGACGCCGCGUAAAGGAAGAAGUAUCUCGGUAUGUAAACUUCUAUCAGCAGGGAAGAA